GCCCGGAUAGCUCAGUGGUAGAGCAGUUCCUUCGUAAGGAAAAGGUCGGAGGUUCAAAUCCUCUUCCGGGCU
rnacentral:tRNA from 1 species